rnacentral:rRNA from 1 species
AACAAGGUCUCCGUUGGUGAACCAGCGGAGGGAUCAUUC